rnacentral:rRNA from 1 species
UACGGAGGGGGCGAGCGUUGUCCGAAUUUAUUGGGCGUAAAGCGCGUGUAGGCGGAUUCACAAGCCUGAGGUGAAAGGUUGGGGCUCAACCCCAUACAGUGCCUUGGGGACUGUGAGUCUGGAGGCCGGCAGAGGAGAGUGGAAUUCCUGGUGUAGCGGUGGAAUGCGUAGAGAUCAGGAAGAACACCCAUGGCGAAGGCAGCUCUCUGGGCCGGUACUGACGCUGAGACGCGAAAGCGUGGGGAGCGAACGGG